rnacentral:lncRNA from 1 species
AAACACACUGAGACGGUUAACAAAAUUACAAAUCACUGUUGAAAGUUGAAACCACCACCUCUCGAUGCUUACUCAAGUAGUUACUGCAGUCAUAGAACUGGUCAGUAACUCUAACUUCCUUUUUGGAUAAAUGUAUAGCUUUAAAUCUAUUAUUAAUAACAGUUUGAUUUAAGAGGUAGAAUUGUAGCCAAUUUUAAUUGCAUUAAUUUUAACUCAAUCUUUUCCACUUUUAUCUAAACGGAUGCUCCAAAACAAGUGCUUUAAAAAAAGUAACAAGUCAAAAAAGAAAUCUAUUUGAGUAGGUACAUCCUCCGUUAAUUUUGGAUGGUAAUUCUUUUAAUUCAAUCAAUGUCAUAUUAGGAAGUUGAGUAGUAAAAAACCAAUUAUUCCAUAUAGUACAAUCUAUACCCUUCACCCUCACAAAUAAUCAAUUAUGGAUAAAUUCAUUCUUAUUUAAUUUUCUUAAUAACUUUUUCACCAAAAUUACAAUAUCUCAUUUAAUAAUCACAAAAAUAUAUAUUAGUGCUUAAAAUUGUUAUAACUAAGAAGAAAAAUCUUUAAUAAUCACAAAAGUAUUUGGUCUAAUGAUUUUUACCAUAUCUCAUUUGACAAUGUAUAUUUCAAUUUUAUGACAUUUUACUUUUAUUUUUAUAAAUUUACAUCAAGAUUUUUAAAUGGUUAAUUUUCAUUACAAGUGUUUUUAUUUUUAUGUUUACACAUUUAUAAAUUAAAAUUUUAAAUGAUUAAAAUUUUUACUUCAAAAAUAUAAAUAUAAUUUGAAUUAAGGAUGUGCCAUAUUUUAUGUUAAUUUUUAUACAUUUUCAUUAAUAAUAAAUAUAAUGUUAACAUAUAUAUUCGAAUUAAACAUAUGUGAUAUUUUAUAUUAAUUCUUUUACAUUUAUGUUAAUAAUAUAUAAAUUUGAAUUACACAUAUGUGAUAUUUUAUGUUAAUUUUUAUUCAUUUAAGUUAAUAAUUUAUAAAUCCAAUUUAAACAUAUGUGAUAUUUAACGUUAAUUCUUAUAUAUUUAAGUUAGUAAUAUAUAAAUUUGAAUUAAGGAUAUGUGAUAGUUAAGGUUAAUUCUUAUACAUUUACAUUAAUAAUAUGUAAAUUCGAAUUAAGUAUAUGUGAUAUUUUAUAUUAAUUCUUAUACAUUUAUGUUAAUAAUAUAUAAAUUUAAAUUACACAUAUGUGAUAUUUUAUGUUAAUUCUUAUACAUUUAAGUUAAUAAUUUAUAAAUUUAAAUUAAGCGUAUGUGACAUUUAACGUUAAUUCUUAUAUAUUUACGUUAAUAAUAUAUAAAUCUGAAGUAAGAAUAUACAAAAUUUAAUGGUAAUUCUUAUACAUUUAUGCUAAUAAUUUAUAAAUUUGAAUUAAGUGUAUGUGGUUUUUUAUAUUAAUUCUUAUGCAUAUAUGUUAAUAAUAUAUAAAUUUAAAUUAUGCAGAUGUGAUAGUUUAUGUUCAUUCUUAUACAUUUAGGUUAGUGAUAUAUAAAUUUAAAUUAAGCAUAUGUGUUUUUUAAUGUUAAUUAUUUUACAUUUAUGAUAAUAAUAAUAUAUAAAUUCAAAUUAAACAUAUGUGAUAUUUAAUGUUAAUUCUUAUACAUUUAUAUUGAUAAUAUUAUAUAGAUUCAAAUUAAGGAUAUGUGAUUUUAAUGUUAAUUCUUAUACAUUUAUGUUAAUAAUGUAUAAAUUUGAAUUAAACAUAUAUGAUAUUUAACGUUAAUUAUUAUAUAUUUAUGUUAAUAAUAUAUAAAUUUAAAUUACACAUAUGUGGUAUUUUAUGUUAAUUUUUAUACAUUUAGAUUAAUAAUUUAUAAAUUCAAAUUAAGGGUAUGUGAUAUUUAACAUUAAUUUUUUUACAUUUACGUUAAUAAUUUAUAAAUUUGAAUUAAACAUUAAUUGCAAUACAUUUACAUUAAUAAUAUAUAAAUUUAAAUUACGCAUAUGUGAUAGUUUAUGUUAAUUCUUAUACAUUUAGGUUAAUAAUAUAUAAACUCAAUCUAAACAUAGAUGUUAUUUACUGUUAAUUUUGCACAUUUAUGUUAACAAUAUGUAAAUUCAAAAUAAAUAUAUGUGAUAUUUAAUGUUAAUUCUUAAACAUUUUUGUUAGUAAUAUAUAAAUUCAAAUUAAGGAUAUGCGAUAUUUAAUGUUAAUUCUUAUACAUUUACCUUAACAAUAUAUAAAUUCGAAUUAAGUAUAUGUGAUAUUUUAUAUUAAUUCUUAAUAUUUAUGUUAAUAAUAUAUAAACUUAAAUUACACAUAUGUGGUAUUUUAUUUUAAUUUUUAUAUAUUUAGAUUAAUAAUUUAUAAAUUCAAAUUAAGCGUAUGUGAUAUUUAACAUUAAUUUUUUUACAUUUACGUUAAUAAUUUAUAAUUUGAAUUAACUAUUAAUUGUGAUACAUUUACAUUAAUAAUAUAUAAAUUCGUAUUGCAUAUAUGCGAUAUUUAACGUUAAUUCUUAUAAAUUUGUGUUAGUAACUUAUAAAUUUAAAUUACGCAUAUGUGAUAGUUUAUGUUAAUUCUUAUACAUUUAGGUUAGUAAUAUGUAAAUUCAAAUUAAGCAUAUGUGAUGUUUUACGUUAAUUCUUAUACAUUAUGUUAAUAAUAUAUAAAUUCAAAUUAAGUAUAUGUGACAUUUUACGCUAAUUCUUAUACAUUUAGGUUAAUAAUAUAUAAAGCCCAAUUAAGUAGAUGUAAUAUUUUAGCUUAAUUCUUAUACAUUUAUGUUAAUAAUUUAUAAAUUUGAAUUAAUCAUAUAUGAUAAUUUAUCUUAAUUUUUAUACAUCUAAGUUAAUAAUAUACAAAGUCAAAUUAAGCGUAUGUAAUAUUUUACCUUAAAUUUUUUACAUUUAUGUUAAUGAUAUAUAAAUUCAAAAUAAGUUUAUAUGAUAUUUUGUUUAUACGAUAAGCUCAAGUUUAUGAAGGAGUCUAUUCCGAAUAUAGUCAAGUAGUUUGAGGUGAAAGGACUCCCGCUAGGGAGGAUUCUGCGUAGAGUGCCACACAAACUCGUCUGCUUCUACAUGGUAUUUCAGUUAAAUUUGAAUUGGCUAGUUGGAGGAGUUUGUCCUGAUGAGUGGGAUUUUACUAAACAGUUAAAGAUGAAUUGGAGAAGAACAUAAAUUGAGGAAUGGACAGCUUUUUUUUUUUUUUUUCCAAAGGAAAAAGGUGUAUAUAAAAUUAAAUUAUAUACAGCUUUCAAAACAACAUGGAUAAGCUGGCACAAACAUCCAAAGGAAAACCACAAGUGUUCAAGCCUGUUCUCCCAUUUAGCUCAUUAAUACAGUCGAGCUCGACCUUAAUUAAGAAGCGACUCUUGACAGCUUUAGGUCCACAAAAUUUAAAGUUCGGACAGCAGUAAUGGAGCGGACUGCAAUUACAUCUCAAUCGCAAGAGUGCUCGGGCAUUUAAUUCACCAGGAACACCUGUGAGCUUUGGACAGUUGUGACGGUGGUUUGGUUUGGACAAAGUCAAUGUGUUCCGAUAUGUGUAUUAUUUGAAGCUGAGCGUAUUCGGUGGGAUGGAAGUGGGCAUUAUAUCAUCCCGUAAUCCCCAAAGCUGGAUAUUUGCAGGAAAAUAGGGGUUAUUGAUGUUUUUAUAGGUUAUUUUAUCUACUAUCUUUUGUAAUUAUAAAGCACAAAGCUAAUUUAAGCUUUGGCAUGAAGCAAUGCCCUGCAUAACUUUAAACAUAUGUGAAUAUAUAUAUAUAUAUAUAUAUAUAUAUAUAUAUUAAUAAUAUAUAAAUUUAAAUUACAUAUAUGUGAUUUUUUUUAAUUUUUAUACAUUUAGGUUAAUAAUAUAUAAAGUUAAAUUAAACAUAUGUGAUAUUUAAUGUUAAUUUUUAUACAUUUAUGUUAAUAAUAUAUGCGUAUUUAACUGUUAAUUUUUUAUAUUUAUGUUAAUAAUAUAUAAACUCAAAUUAAGCAUAUAUGAUUUUAAAGUUAAUUUUUAUACAUUUACAUUAAUAAUAUAUAAAUUCAAAAUUACACAUUUGAUAUUUUAUGUUAAUUUUUAUAAAUUUACGUUAAUAUUAUAUAAAUUCAAAUUAAGCAUAUGUGAUAUUUUAUUUUAAUUUUUAUACAUUUAUAUUAAUAAUAUAUAAAAUUCAAUUAAGCUUACAUGAUAUUUUACAUUAAUUUUUAUACAUUAAAGUUAAUAUUGUUAUAUAAAUUUAAAUUAAACAUAUGUGAUAGGAAAACUUGUUUUGCAUUGCAUAAUUUUAUUUGACAUUGAAAGUGUUAACACGAAAUGCAUUAAUGAUUCAGGGAUCCACCAUCGCCAGAAAAUUAAUUACAAUGCAUAAAAAAUUAGUUUUAAUCUCCCAAUUUUCUUUUCUUUUUCAUUUAAAUUUUUUUUUGGUUCAAACCGGUUUACUCAGUUUACAAGUUUUAAUUUUUGUUUUUAUCUGUGGCUGAAUUUAAACUUCGUUGUGCUCUCUUUAUCGCGCUGAGAAACCUCCAUCUUCAUCGUGCUCUCUCUCUCUUCAGCUUUGCCUUAAACAAAGUUACCAAAAUCGUCUUCCCUUUCUUCUUCUUCAUAGCUAAAUCAGACAAAAUGCAGCAAAAAUCUUCUCCACAGAAUUAAAACAGAGCAAAAUCAAAAUAGAAUCCUCAGCCAAAACACCAAAAUCCUAAAUUCUUUCCUCUUCACAGAACGAAGAGCUAAAAUGGUUAAACUUGAUCAGAUCCAAAAUCAAAGGCAGCACCAUAUCUUUCGAGAUCAGCCACCCAUUGGUGCUCUCCUCUGCCAGAACACAGUAACGACAACAAAAAGUGAAACCAACAGCUAGUAUCAUAAGGGCUAAACAUAACACAAAUUAUCCAAUUUGUGUUAUGUUUAGUGUUUAUGGUAAUAGGUGGGAUUCAAGUGAAACUUCAAGGUGAUCCCAAAAAUUUCAAUCUUCCUCUGUCUACCAUUCUUUAUUGGUAAGUGUUACCGAGGCAGCCUUUCACUUUACUAACAAGCAUAGGUUUUGCAAUUCCUACCUCAAUUGUCGAGAUCAAAUAUACAAAUUACAAGAUCUUCAAUCAAGGAACAUGCCAGUCCCAAAUAAUGAACCCCUGGAGAUUGAAGCCUUGAUUUGUGACUGUACACCACAGCAACUUCCACAAGUUUAAUACUUUCUAGAUGGUUUAAUUUUAUGUUAAGUAUGGACUCGUAGGAAUAUAUUCCUAAUUUUGUUAAUUUAGUCCAUUUUAUUCUGAGUUUUAGUUAGUUUAGUUUUCAGGAGUUUAUUCGGAGUUUUAGUUAGUUUAGCUUUCAGGGAAGUUAGUUUAGUUUUCAAGGACUGUUUUCCGUUGAUGGCUGCAUGUCACCCUUUGUCCAGCUAUGUAAUCUUGCUUUAAAAAAAAUGUAUUUCUUAUUAAGACUAAUAUUUAUGGUAUUUGCUGUUGUGCUUUGUUAUUAAUGAAUUAUCUUGCCAUUUAAAAAAAUGUAUUUCUUAUUAAGACUAAUAUUUAUGGUAUUAAGACUAAUCUCAGGUGGUUUUCAUUGUUUUAUGCUAAAAAAAUAAUUUUUUUUAUGUCCCACUAACUCUCCCUUGUAGAUUUGUUGAAAUCGGAUUUUAUGAUUAAAGUAUUGCAAUAAAAUAAACUUUUAAGUUGCUGUUGGAGAUUCUUAGAAAGAUAUCAUUGAUUAUUAUCAAUCUUUAGUUUAAUUACUGGUAAUGGAAGCCGAAGUUUAAUCCGAAAAUUUACCUAAUCCAAAUGAACGUCUCUGAACAUUAAAUUGAUUCGCUUUUGUGUAGACUCGAGACAGAAACCUAAAUCUUCCAGGCCUGAUGAUGAUUGGCCCAAAAUCAAGCCUUUAGAGUUCAAGCAAAGAUGCUCCCACAUAAACCUGGAAAAAGAAAAGCAUACUAUGGGAAUUUUCCUUCGCGAGAAAACUUUGGGCAGAUGUUGGCACCAUUCAUCAACAAAAUUCUUCACUUAAUAUCCUCAUAUUCAGAUUUUGUCGUGAUGGACACGAGUAUACGAUGCAUGAAUUGAAGAUCCCAUUCUUCCCCAGUUCCCACCCUCCCUAUAGCGAAUAGAACAAAAUGAUCCUCUUAGAAUUUUCGUAUCCUUGUGGCAUGCAAUGGAUACCGUACUAGUAAAGGAAUUACAAAAAGAAAACAUAUGAAUAAUUCAAACAAAUAUUUCCUGCUCGACUUUAUUCUUUCAGGAUUUGGGUUGAAUGUUGUCAAUAUCUGAAUUUGGAGAACUCUUUACAAUCUUCAAGAAUUUCUUCUCGAUAUCUGAAUUCGGAGGAAUGCUUUAGCAAUAUCACACAGAAUCCAAAAAGAAAAGGCAAGACAAGGACAGUCGCCAGGGCUCCAUUAGCAUCUGGAUGCUUCACAAGAUUUCCAAUGAAGUUUUUAAGGAGCCUCCAGGAUAUUGGAACCAAGAUAUAACACAAGAUGGAUGCUGCAGCAGUAAAACAAACUGGAAAUCUUCCAGUUUCUUUGCACUCUGCUUUGUCACUACCAUUGAACUCACUUCCAUGCCACAGGUAGUUAAAGAAAAAAUGACAGUGAACCCGCGCCAUACACAAUGAUCGAGGGCAUAAGAAAACCGAAGGCAAAGCCAUAAUAUAAGAUAAUGGCCAAUACCAAUGGAGUUUGAGAGAGGUUCUCUUCCGGACGCUUCAACUCCAUUUUAAACAAUGAUAAGCUGAACCACAUCAAACCAAAGAAUUUGUAAGCUGCGAUGAUGUAAGCUGCUACAUAAAUCCAAGGAGGAUUUUCUUCUUCAUCAUGCUUCAUUUUUAUCUCAAUUGACCAGAGAAAAAUUGUACAUAUAGAAUUGGAUUUGUUUAAUAUUAAUCCUGCAUUAGCUUGCUUAUAUUCUACAAAAUUAAAUUGGCAUAAAAAAAAUCUAAUGGAAAUAAAUUGAAUCAAAACAAGGAAAACAUGCCUGGUAACGAGGAGGAAAACACACUGUUAGCAAAAUUGCAGAUCACUGUUAUUUGAUCCUUGAUGCUCUAGUUAAGUUAUUACUGCAAUCAUAGAACUAGUCAGUAACUCUUAACUCCUUUUUAGAUAGAUAUAUAGCUUUAAAUUUAUUUUAUUAUCCCCUUAAAAAAUGAUACUAAUAACAGUUGGAUUUAAGAGGUAGAAUUGUAGUCAAUAUUAAUUACAUUAAUUUUAACUUGAUCUUUUCCACUUUUAUAAAUAUUUAUCUAAAUGGGUGGCUAAUUAUGGACGAGUCCUUUCUCAUUUAAGUUUCUCAAUAACUUAAUUUCUUCUCAAGUUCAUUCUCAUUUAAAUUUCUGAAUAAUAUAAUGACAAAAUUCAAUAGUAACGCUAAAUAAGGACAGACUCUAAAGAACUCUAAAGGUGGAACUCUUUGGAAAGAGCACUUUCAGCUCAUUUAAUGACAAAAUUCAACAGCAACUUUAAAUUAAGAGAGACUCUAAAGACGAAAUUCAACAAGCACACAUAUACUAUCUUUUUCCAGUAAUCCCCAAAGCUGGAUAUUUGCAGGAAAAUAGGGGUUAUUGAUGUUUUUAUAGGUUAUUUUAUCUACUAUCUUUUGUAAUUAUAAAGCACAAAGCUAAUUUAAGCUUUGGCAUGAAGCAAU